UACGUAGGAUGCAAGCGUUGUCCGGAUUUACUGGGCGUAAAGCGCGCGCAGGCGGCACAUUAAGUAAGGUGUGAAAUAUCCCGGCUCAACCGGGAGGGUGCACUUUAGACUGAUGAGCUUGAGGUCGGUAGAGGGGGGUGGAAUUGCUGGUGUAGCGGUGAAAUGCGUAGAGAUCUGGAAGAACACCAAAGCCGAAGGCAGCAUCCUGGGAAGUUCCUGACGCUCGGGUGCGAAAGCCAGGGGAGCGAACGGG
rnacentral:rRNA from 1 species